UCCGUUAUGGUGUAGUAGCCAUCAUGCGCAGUUACCGACCGCGAACGCCAAGGGUUCAGUUCCCUGGGACGGAA